rnacentral:snRNA from 1 species
ACCGUUUUUCGGCCUUUUGACUAAAAUUAAGUGUAGUAUCUGUUCUUAGCAGUUUAAUAUCUGAUACAUCCUCUAUCCAAUGCGGAGACUGUUCAAAAGCCCAAGGGCAAAAUGAUACCAGAAAAACACCCGCUGGCCAUCUGGUUUCCCAUUAGUACCUCCAGGCUCACACCUGUG